UAUAGUGUAGUUUAUAUAAAAUAUUUGUUUUACACACAAAUGAACUCAGUUGAGCGCUAUUA
rnacentral:tRNA from 1 species